UUUCAUAAUACUGUUCUAAAUGUGUUUUUGUUUUCAGUUAUUUUUCCUCCUCUAGCCAGUUAAUCCAUACUUUAUAUCAGUAAGAUAAGAUAAAUUUUAUGGCAACAAUCUACUCAAGCAGUGGGGCUUUUCUAUCAUUUUUUUGUUUAAUGAGCUUCAAUUAAAUUUUUUCAGGGAUUUCUAGAUGUUUCCCAAGUUACCAACGUGUGCCAGGUAUGGAUUCUGUGGUGGAGGUACAUUCUUGAGCUAUAACCUAGUGAAAAAAACACAAGGUCUGGCAUAUGAAUCCUUUUCUUACCUUAGACUCCUUCUAUUGAGGAUUGUACCCUCCUCUGUAAAUUUCCUAACAUGUGUUAAGUGUGGAUCAUAUCCUGGAAUUACGUUCUUUGGAAGAGCCUAUUGAGAAAGUAGACAAGGAAACUGGUGUUUUAUAGCAGGUAAGUUUAGUGGUAAUUUGUUAGACAAUAAUAGUAACUAGAAUAUC
rnacentral:lncRNA from 1 species